ACUUUAUCGUCAACUCGAUUCGAGAAGAGCUUAUUUGCCGAGCGAUGGAUAUGUUGUAUGCCAGAUAUCUCGAGAAGAAUUCCUACGCUUUUGUCGUUCACUGUUCGUACCUCGCCUGGAUGAGAUUGUUCAACGUAAACAUCAGGCCUGCUAAAACAUAUUUACUUUUCCGAGUUUAAAUUAACCUACUUACACAAGGUUUUUCGCGUACUCUUUGACCCCCGAGUUUAUUAUGCAAACAUCUAGUGUGUUUAUCGCAGUGGAUGUAUCUGAAACAUGAUCCUGGUGAAAGUGUGCAAACGAUCGACGAAAAUUGGUCCUGCGACGAAGCGCCGGAUCCGGUGCCCGUCGAUCCAUGGGCCUGCGGCAGGAUGACCGUAUGCAAAGCACAAUCAACGCCUCCAGAAACAAAGCCUUGUUCUAUCCCGUGUUCGUCGACGGUCGAUGUAUACCCUCAGAUAUCAGUUCCCGCUUUUACAGAAUCAUCGUUUGAGACAAACAGUCAUCAGUUGUCUAAUGCGGAGGAAUUGACUCGUGAAAAUCGUGAUCUGGAUCCAGAUGCAGUUGCUGACAGUGAGAGGCUUUUGUCAAGCCUAGACGACGGAACUUCGUCAGCUUCGUUAAGUCAGGGACAACGAUCCAUUUUCACCCGGACCAUCUCCAUGGCCAAGGCUAACCUACCGGUGACAAGAUGGAAGUUGCAGCAGGGUUUCAAAAACGAAACAACCAACAAGAGUAGAGGCAAGAAGAAUAAAAUUCCGGUAGCGAUGGAGCCUCCCGAACGCCUUGACCUUGUAAAGUUGCCGCCGGAUAGAUUGAAUACGGAGUGCGUUAUCGUCCCUCAGCAAGGUGAAAAAUCUCAGGGGAAGAAGAAGGGUAAACAGUAAAGUGGAAGGCAAUAACUGCUGCAUAUAUAAGGACCAAAUACUGGAAACUGAGGUAAAUCAAUCGUACUUACAACGUACGUUUUUUCUAAGACAGACAACGUAAUAGUCCCAGCAUUCGUUGCCGUACCUUUACAAUCAAUAUCGUAAAUAACAUCAGCUUUGUUAUUGGAUUAAAAAGGCAUUGACUUGUGAGAGUAGAGCAAUUCGUUGUAUCUUGGAAUCUUUUAGAAGCUCGUAAAGAUCGACGAUCGUAGAUUCUAACCGUUUCGAUCAACUUUGCUCGAAGGUUGUUGAAUUCUAUUCAUCGCUUAUUGCACUGUCAAUUGGAAGCAAGAGUCAUUUGUCUCUUGUUCAUUGUGCCAAGUGUUUUCUUACAAACGUAUCAAUCAACCUUUUGUAAGGGAAAAAAUAACUUUCGAAUAUCGAGAAUAAUGCUGUGCGAUGACGGAGACGUGUUUUAUUGUUAAAAUACCGGUUCACACCUGCACAGAAGAGAUAUUUUUCUAGCGAAGGCGUAUGAUCGAUUAAAUUUAUCUCUAUACAGACCUUGUUUACGAUCUUGGCAUGUGGAAUUUACACUGAACGAGAAACGUCUGAAAUCGCCUUGAAGUAUUCGCAGCAUGGAAAAACAACAAGAUGACAAAAUUAAUCGUCGUAUAAGUUUGUUUUUCGUAUUCAAUAUAGGUAUUAUGUAUGAGAUAACAACUUGUUAUCGGGAAGCUUCGAAAUUCAUAUGUUCAAACGAAUAAAC